CAAUAGCGUAUAUUAACGUUGUUGCAGUUAAAAAGCUCGUAGUUGGAUUUCUGGAGGGAGCGUCGGCCCGUAUUUACGAGUGCGUGACGUCUCUGUCCAUCCUUGCGGGAAGGCACGGCAUUGAUUUGUUGUGUCGGAUCGCAUCAUUUACUGUGAAAAAAUUAGAGUGUUCGAAGCAGGCUUUCGCUUGAAUACAUUAGCAUGGAAUAAUAAGAUAGGACUUUGGUGCUAUUUUGUUCGUUGAGCCUAAAGUAAUGAUUAAUAGGGAUAGUUGGGGGCACCUGUAUUGCGUUGUCAGAGGUGAAAUUCUUGGAUUUACGCAAGACAAACAGCUGCGAANGNGUCUGCNAAGGAUGUUUNCAUUA
rnacentral:rRNA from 1 species